rnacentral:rRNA from 1 species
ACUCCUACGGGAGGCAGCAGUAAGGAAUAUUGGUCAAUGGACGAAAGUCUGAACCAGCCAUGCCGCGUGAAGGAUUAAGGCCCUCUGGGUUGUAAACUUCUUUUAUAUGGGACGAAAAAAGGGUAUUCUUACUCACUUGACGGUACCAUAGGAAUAAGCACCGGCUAACUCCGUGCCAGCAGCCGCGGUAAUACGGAGGGUGCAAGCGU